AAAGUUCAUACCUUACAUUAAGAUCUUUGAUCUGGUUUGAAUUAAUGUUUGUACAUAGUGAGAGAUGGGGAUCUGACUUUAUUUUUUUCUAUAUGUAGAUAGCGUUUUGCCACUAUGUGAUAAAGAAGCAGUCUUUUCUCCAGUGAGGUGUUUUGGCACUUUUGUUGAAAAUCAGAAGGCUAUAGUUACAUAAGCUGAUUUCUAUCCUCCAUUGGUAUGCUCUGGUGCCAUGCAGUUUUUGUUACUAUGGCUUUAUAGUAUAAUCUGAAAUCGAGUAUGGUGAGGCUUCCAGCCUAGCUCUUCCAUAUGAAUUUCAGAGUUAUUUUCCUACUUCUAUGAAGAAUGUCAUCAUAUUAGGGAUUACAUUGACUCUGUGGGUCAUGAUAUCCAUAAACAUAGGAUAUCUUUCUAUCUUCUGGUGCCUUCUUCAAUUUCUUUCUGCAGUGUUUUAAAGUUUUCAAGAAUGGCUUCUUUGAGAUCCUUGUACUCUCCCUUGAGAGAAACAAAGUGAGCUCUCUCUGCUUCCUGUGUACACAGGAAAUGAGACCAGCCAGCCUUCCACCGUGCAUUCCCUGCCCACUGCCAAGUCUUCCCGACAGCGAUGGACUCUCCCUCUGGAACCGCAUAGCCGAAUGUGUGAUGAGUCUUGGAAGACAUUUUGGACUUGGACUUUAGAGCAACUCUGGGACAGUUAGGACUCAGGAAACUCUUAGAGAAGACUGCUUUUGACCGUUUACAGCCUGAGAACUACUUUCCUCCAGAGACCUCCUACCAAUACCAGCUAACCCCAACCCCUGAGCUAUGCAGGCUUCUUCAGACAACAAGGCUCUCAGAAUGAAAAGUUGCCUGGGAACAAAGAGCCAAUCAGAUGCUCCCAGGACACCAACCAUGGCCAUAGAGGAAAAUGUGACCAUCUGCAGCUAUGAAGAAGGCCCUACCAGGAACAAAAUUCCCUUGCACCUUGAUUUUGAAAUUGCCAGCCACCAGGUGUAUGAGAAAUGACUGCUGUUUGAGCCACCCAGUACGCGGUACUUUCUUAUGACAACCCACAUUAAGACAGUAACUAAUAAAAGAAACAGGUCGAUGCCAUAAUUAAUAGCUAAAAGUGUGGAAUAGCUCGGGACUGAUAGGUGGAUAGGAGAGUUUUGAUUGUACAUACAACAGAAAGUCCAAGAUUUCUGUGGAAGGGUUAGCUAUCAGAGGUGACCCUGAUGGUGACUGAGACAGAGCAGAGUGAGCGCUAUUAAAGCCCUGUCAGUUAUCUGAGAGAACACAGAAGAAACAUUGACGGACUGUUGAGAUAAAUGUGAAGUAAAGAUCACUCUAAUAAAGCCUCAGAGGGAGAAGAAGCCGGUUUGGAAAAUGUGCAAAUUCCAUCUUUAAGACUGAACUGUGCGCUGAAAUGUGUUGUAGAAGCGAGGACUUUUCAAGAAUGAAAUUGGAUAUUUGGCUUCAGAGAUUUCUAAUGCAAGUGUUGAGGAAAGAGUUCUUGGUGAAGCUGGCAAGACGGCUCCCUGGGUAAAAUGCAUGCUGGGUAAACUUGAGGGCUGGAGUUUGAUUCCUACCUAGGAGGCGGGGCUAGGUGUGAACACACCCACUUGUAAUCACAGCUCUGGCCGAUUGGGAAGCGCAGAGACUGGCAGAUCUCAGCGCUUACUGGUGGUUAAGUAUUGGACCCCUGGUUAUUGGGUAUCCUCCACCGAUACAAUAAGCCAAUCAAGCUGAAUUAAUAAGUCCAGGUUUAAUAAACAGAGCAAAGCAACUCCCGAGUGACUCUCGGAAAGGCAGGAGAGAAAAAAAAUCACAUGGCAGGACAGGUCUGACUACCAGGUCUUAAAUACCCUGUAAGCAUGGUCUUGAGCAGCCCUAGGGAGGGGCUGACCCUUGGUAGGCUUUCUUUGGGCAGGGUCUGGAGAGGACAGCUGCGGGGGAGAUCCCCAACAACUGACCCACAGAUUUCAGCCAUUGGUGAGAUGCAGGCAAGUCCACCCAGGCUGAGCCACGUCUCUGUUCCCAGCAGGACGAUUAAGCCAUAAUAGCAAUUGAUAUUUGAACUUGUUUGGGUUUCAUCACCCCUUUCAGCCAUCCUGUUUCUCUCUUUUGGAAUGAACAACAUCUUUACUCUGCUGUCCAGCCAUUCUAUUUUAAAAGCAUAUAAUUUACCCAGUUUUACAGGCCUGCAGGUAGAUUGGAAUUUUGCCUCAGGAUGGUUUGUACCUAUAUCUGAUUUCUAUGGUAUAUGUAUGAUACCUUGGUCUUUAGACCUGUGCUGGGGUGAAUUAAGGAAGACUUAAAGUACUCUUGGGAUGGGAUGGGAUGGGAUGGACUGUAUUUCGCACAUGGGAUGGAAAUGAAUUUUGUGGGAUAAUGGUAGGAAGGGUGAAUAAAUUAACACCAUAGGCUGGCUGACACUUAGUUUCAACCUUGGGGACCUGAGGUGAAUAUAUUCAGCCAAGCAAUGUCCAUACUCCUUACUAACAGAAGCUGAGAUCCAUAAUCAAGUUUUGGGGUAACCUGUUAGGCAGAAAUAGGUGAAUUGAUACAAGUUUUUUUGCUUUUGUUGUUGUUUUUCAAGACAGGGUUUCUCUGUGUAGCUUUGCGCC